AACGAACGCUGGCGGCAGGCCUAACACAUGCAAGUCGAACGAGACCUCCGUAUCUGGUUGCGCACGGGUGCGUAGCGUGUGGGAACGUUGCGUAAGGCUCGGGAUAACUCCUCGAAGGGGGUGCUAAUACCGGGUAAUGUCUUCGGACCCAAGAUUUGUCGUCUUUGUAUGGGCAGGCGUUGGUUUAGCUAGUUGGGAGGGUAAAAGCCUACCAAGGCGACGAUCAAUAGCUGGUCAGAGAGGAUGAUCAGCCACCCUGGGACUGAGACACGGCCGAGACUCAUACGGGAGGCAGCGGUGGGGAAUACUGGACAAUGGGCGAAGGCCUGGUCCAGCAAUGCCGCGUGAGUGCUGAAGGCCGUAGGAGUGUAAAGCCCUUUUAACCGGGCUGAUAAUGACAGUACCGGGAGAAUAAGCUCCGGCUAACCCCGUG
rnacentral:rRNA from 1 species